AUUAAACUGAAGAGUUUGAUCAUGGCUCAGAUUGAACGCUGGCGGAAUGCUUUACACAUGCAAGUCGAACGGCAGCACGGACUUCGGUCUGGUGGCGAGUGGCGAACGGGUGAGUAACAUAUCGGAACGUAUCCAAUAAUGGGGGAUAACUAAUCGAAAGGUUGGCUAAUACCGCAUACGCCCUACGGGGGAAAGCAGGGGAUCUUCGGACCUUGCGUUAAUGGAGCGGCUGAUACCUGAUUAGCUAGUUGGUGGGGUAAAGGCCCACCAAGGCGACGAUCAGUAGCUGGUCUGAGAGGACGACCAGCCACACUGGAACUGAGACACGGUCCAGACUCCUACGGGAGGCAGCAGUGGGGAAUUUU
rnacentral:rRNA from 1 species